rnacentral:rRNA from 1 species
UGCCAGCAGCCGCGGUAAUACGGAGGGUGCAAGCGUUGUUCGGAAUUACUGGGCGUAAAGCGCACGUAGGCGGAUUAGUAAGUCAGAGGUGAAAUCCCAGGGCUCAACCCUGGAACUGCCUCCAAAACUAUCAGUCUAGAGUUCGAGAGAGGUGAGUGGAAUUCCGAGUGUAGAGGUGAAAUUCGUAGAUAUUCGGAGGAACACCAGUGGCGAAGGCGGCUCACUGGCUCGAUACUGACGCUGAGGUGCGAAAGUGUGGGGAGCAAACAGGAUUAGAUA